AUGUCGUACACGAUCGGCGCGCCUCCGUUGCCAGAUGACUUGUGGUCGUGGGUGUUCCUGGGCUUCUUUGGCACUUGCUCUUCGUCGUCGUCCUCUGUGUCACCGAGGUUUGUGACAACCGGAGUCAUGAUCCUUGGUGUUACUCGUGAGGCCCGACGCUUGGUGGAGAGUUGCGCCUCGGUGGCCAGGUGUUCCGUCACCACGUGCCGGUCGGUAAGAAGGCCAGUGAUGGCCGUAGCAUCAUCGUGCUCAGCAGCGAGGUGUUGUUCCACCUCCCACGAACGGAGGGGCACCACAACGCUGCCACCAUGUACCGCCGCGCCGGCAUGGGGUUGCUCCCCCUCUACCUCCUCCUUCUCCGAGGAGAUCCAACCGGAAGCCUCAUCGUCGUCUUUGUCAUCCAAGCUCGAGGAAUCGUCCGGCAUGACGACUACCGGGAGGUGCUGA
rnacentral:rRNA from 1 species